UACAGAGGUCCCAAGCGUUGUUCGGAUUCACUGGGCGUAAAGGGUGCGUAGGUGGCCGGGUAAGUCUGACGUGAAAUCUCCGAGCCUAACUCGGAAACUGCAUCGGAUACUAUCCGGCUUGAGGAUUGGAGGGGGGACUGGAAUACUUGGUGGUAGCAGUGAAAUGCGUAGAUAUCAAGUGGAACACCAGUGGCGAAGGCGAGUCCCUGGACAAUUCCUGACACUGAGGCACGAAAGCUAGGGGAGCAAACAGG
rnacentral:rRNA from 1 species